CUAGGAUGAACGCUGGCGGCGUGCCUAACACAUGCAAGGUCGAACGGGACUGUUAGUGACGAUUUCGGUCUGAACUUUACAGUUAGUGGCGGACGGGUGAGUAACGCGUGGAUAACCUGCCUUCGACAGGGGGAUAGCAGCUGGAAACGGCUGGUAAUACCGCAUACGCUCAUGUCACCGCAUGGUGAUGUGAGGAAAGAUUUAUCGGUGAAAAGAUGGAUCCGCGUCUGAUUAGCCAGUUGGCGGGGUAACGGCCCACCAAAGCGACGAUCAGUAGCCGGCCUGAGAGGGCGGACGGCCACAUUGGGACUGAGACACGGCCCAGACUCCUACGGGAGGCAGCAGUGGGGAUAUUGCACAAUGGGCACAAGCCUGAUGCAGCGACGCCCGCGUGAGUGAAGAAGUAUUUCGGUAUGUAAAGCUCUAUCAGCAGGGAAGAAAGACCCGCAAGGGGGAUGACGGUACCUGACUAAGAAGCCCCGGCUAACUACGUGCCAGCCGCCGC
rnacentral:rRNA from 1 species